CCCUUCCAUCGCCAAGGGAACCAGGGUCAUGAGUCCUGCCCUGCCAUCGCCCCCCCCCCUCCAUCGCCAAGGGAACCAGGGUCAUGAGUCCUGCCCCGCCAUCGCCAAGGGAACCAGGGUCAUGAGUCCUGCCCUGCCAUCGCCACCCUUCCAUCGCCAAGGGAACCAGGGUCAUGAGUCAUGCCCCGCCAUCGCCAAGGGAACCAGGGUCAUGAGUCCUGCCCCGCCAUCACCUCUCCAUCGCCAAGGGAACCAGGGUCAUGAUUCAGGAUCAGAGGAACAUGGGUAUCCCGUCCUGUCCCUGAGAUGGAGGCCGUGUGGAGACUCAGACUCAGAGGCAAAUGGAGUCUGCCGGUUGGUCCUCCCGCUCCGCAGCGCCGUGCUGCAUCCUAAUGCUCCGCGCUCGUGAAUGAGUCAUGAGCCAUGAGCCAGGGAGGAGAAAUGAUUUAUCUUCUUUACUGUGAGCCGUGCGAGUGAGCACAAGCUCCGGGAGAGGGAGCGAGACACACAGAGACCCACGCCAUCUCUCGUCGCCAGGGCGCAGCCAGGCACACAGAGACCCACGCCAUCUCUGGUCGUCAGGGCACAGCCAGGCACACAGAGACCCACGCCAUCUCUCGUCGUCAGGGCACAGCCAGGGCACAGCCAGGCACACAGAGACCCACGCCAUCUCUGGUCGCCAGGGCGCAGCCAGGCACACAGAGACCCACGCCAUCUCUCGUCGUCAGGGCACAGCCAGGCACACAGCCACGGGAGAACGCAGAUAACGCGGACAGGGGAAACGGUUGGUCGAGGUUGUUCUAGAAUGUUCCAAGAAAACCCAAAUAAGAUAGACACUACUUAAGAGGCGGGUGUGGUCUGAGCUAGAACAUGAAAAGAAACCAUGGAGGCGUUUUAAUACGGGUCCUGUUGAGGACACUGGUGUUGAUAUGACUCAAACAGUCCUGCAUAACAUUACGUGUAACUUUGGGUCACCACACACACACACGACCCCUGGGUCACCACACACACACACACACACACUACCUCUGGGUCACCACACACACACUACCAUUGGGUCACCAGUCACCACACACACACACACUACCCCUGGGUCACCACAAACCACACACACACUACCCCUGGGUCACCACACACACACUACCAUUGGGUCCCCACACACACAUGGAGCAAAUUCAGUCGCUGUUCCCAUCCCUCAUGCAUUCAAAAUGAAACAGAGGCAGAGAGAUGGAGAGAGAGGUGGAAAGAGAGAUGGAGAGAGAAAGAGAGAAAAAGAUUAAAAUGGUGAUGAAAAGCCUACAGAGCAGGGGAGAGAGAGGGUUUGGAGAGAAAGAGAGAUAUAGAAGGUGGGAGAAAAAGAGAGAAGGAGUGAUAGAGGGUGGGAGAGAGAAAGAGAUAGAGGGAGAAGUUGGGAGAAAAAGAGAGAAGGAGAGAUAGAGAGAUUGCUUUGAGGGAUAAUUAAAAACACACAGCUCUCCUGAGGAUCCGAAAGCAGGGAAUAAACACAAAGCACCUCUCCAGAGUGUGUGUGUGUGUGUGUGUGUGUGUGUGUGUGUGCCUCUGGAGGGGACUGAAGAGCAGCACUUCCUCAUGCAGAUCCUCUGCACUGAUAAUAGGUGACAAGAAGAAGACGCUCAAUUUCCUGUCAAGAGAUCCUUAACCAUAGUAAUAUAUGUCUAUGCCCUUAACCCUUUACAGCGUCUCAUCUCCCACAUCAUAUCCUGACAUGCCAAUUUGCAGCACAAUUUUAAAAAUAUAUCAUUCGAUUACAGCUUUCUGGAGCGACAUUUUGCCGUUAUGCGCUUCAAAAGGAAUAUUUACACACACACGCACAUACACACACACGCACACACUCAUACGCAUGCACGCGCACACACACACACACACACACACACUUGCACACGCUCACGUGCAC
ensembl:lncRNA